GUCGAGAAUCUUUCACAAUGGGGGCAACCCUGAUGGAGCGACGCCGCGUGGAGGAUAAGGUCUUCGGAUUGUAAACUCCUGUCAUGCGUGAACAAGGUUGCUUGGUUAAUACCUGGGCAAAUUGAUGGUAACGCAAGAGGAAGAGACGGCUAACUCUGUGCCAGCAGCCGCGGUAAUACAGAGGUCUCAAGCGUUGUUCGGAAUCACUGGGCGUAAAGGGUGCGUAGGUGGCGUGGUAAGUCAGAUGUGAAAGCCCGGGGCUCAACCUCGGAACUGCAUCCGAUACUGGCAUGCUAGAGUACUGGAGAGGUGACUAGAAUUCUCGGUGUAGCAGUGAAAUGCGUAGAUAUCGAGAGGAAUACCAAAGGCGUAGGCAGGUCACUGGACAGUUACUGACACUGAGGCACGAAGGCCAGGGGAGCGAACGGGAUUAGAUACCCCUGUAGUCC
rnacentral:rRNA from 1 species